rnacentral:rRNA from 1 species
GACGAACGCUGGCGGCGUGCUUAACACAUGCAAGUCGAACGGAAAGGCCUGCUUUCCCUUGUGGAUUGCGGGUACUCGAGUGGCGAACGGGUGAGUAACACGUGAGUGAUCUGCCCCCAACUUGGGUAUAAGCCUGGGAAACUGGGUCUAAUUCCCGAUAGGACUGCAGGGUGGUGCCGGUGGUGGAAAACGAUUUUCUAGUGGUUGGGGAUGAGCUCGCGGCCUAUCAGCUUGUUGGUGGGGUAAUGGCCUACCAAGGCGGCGACGGGUAGCCGGCCUGAGAGAGUGGACGGCCACAUUGGGACUGGGAUACGGCCCAGACGCCUACGGGAGGCAGGAGUGGGGAAUAAUGGGCCAUGGGCGGGAGGCUGAUGCAGCGACGCCGCGUGGGGGAUGACGGCCUUCGGGUUGUAAACUCCUUUCGACCGCGAGGAAGCCACCUGGUUGGAAGGGUGGUGACGGUAGUGGUAGAAGAAGCACCGGCUAACUACGUG